CGCCCCGCCGCUCACGCUGCUGCCGCCGCUCCGCGCCGCCGGUGGCAGUCGCGCCGUCCUCCGGCGGUUACCGAUCUCCGCUUAUUCACUCGUGGCGCGACCUGUCUGUAGGGAGGGUGUGUGUCCCGUCCUGCCAGACGGCGCUGCGCCCUCCUCUCGCGGCAGCAAGCUGGCCAGCGCGCUCAAUCCCUGUAUCCAAUGAAGAUAAUAAAUUCAGAAAGUGAAUUCAGAAUUCUGAUACAUGAGAGUUCACAUCAGAAUUCCCAGCAAACUCAUGAUAUCGCCAAGCCAAGACAAAACUGGUAUUUCCUGAGGUAAUGAAAACUGUUCUUUUGUCACUUUAGUCCCAAGUGAAAUUUUCUUAGUUCACUAAAAUCUUUGAGUUACUCCUCGAAGAAACAUAUAGUUACAUGCUGUAUAAAAUUAUACCAAGCUUACAAUUUAACCCUUCAGUUUACAAACUGCAAAAUGCAGAAGCAUUUUUACAAAGAUUUUCUGAGAAAAGGAUGUGCUCUCCUCUAGUUUUUGUCUGCCUCCUGCUCUGCUCCCAUAGGCUGGCGGACACAGUCACCAGCUGCUCCAAUACAAUUGCUUUAGGUCCUGAUUCUGGUUGCAUAAUGCCAUUGGGUUUGUUGUCCAAAAAGGGUGUUACCAUCAGGCAUCAUGGAAAAGACAACUGCUAUAAAUCCUUUUCUCCUUUGUCCUCAGAAAAGACCAUCUUGCUAGCUGAACCCUGAGAGAUGAUGUUGAUUGGCUAAAGAUUUGAAAAGAUCUGACUCAGUGCAAGAGAGAAACUGCAUGAAGUGUAGUUUUGUUUACUGGUGUUUUGGAGGGAUUUUUUAAAAAAGGAGUGACUCAGGGCAAUGAAGAAUUUAUGGGAAGUUCAGCUAUUCCUUUGGGGGGCUAAAGGAAAGCCAUUUUCUCAAAGGAAACGGAGAGCAGAGAAUGUGACAAUCUGAUUUUCAUUUUACACAUCACGCUCUUCUGUAUAUGAGCAUCAGAAGAGCUGUGUCCUUAGAAGAGAAAACUAGAUUAUUUUUUUUUGCAUUUCUGUAGCAAGACUGAAAAACUGUUCUGAAACCCAAUACCAAUACAGAGAGGUAGUCAGUUUAACUGGAGGAUGAGAUCACCUUUGAAAAAUAAAAGAAGGCAAGAGAAUAGGUAGAAUAUGUUUACAGCUUGCAAGAGAUUUAGAAGAAUGAGAAGGGCUUGUUUCCUCUUCAUGCCUCAGACAUACUGACUACAGUGGACACAAGGUUGAGCACACAAUGUCUCAGACACAAGCAGAUAUAAAGAAGCUUUUUCAAGAUGUUUUGCAGCAACUGACAAGUCAUCACCGAAUUGUUUCUUGAAUUAUAUGUGUGUCACAUACAUCUGGGAUGGACAUUAAAAAUAUUCCAAUUUCAUGCAA
ensembl:lncRNA